rnacentral:rRNA from 1 species
UACGAAGGGGGCUAGCGUUGCUCGGAAUUACUGGGCGUAAAGCGCACGUAGGCGGGUCGUUAAGUCGGGGGUGAAAUCCUGGAGCUCAACUCCAGAACUGCCCUCGAAACUGGCGAUCUUGAGUUCGGGAGAGGUGAGUGGAACUGCGAGUGUAGAGGUGAAAUUCGUAGAUAUUCGCAAGAACACCAGUGGCGAAGGCGGCUCACUGGCCCGAUACUGACGCUGAGGUGCGAAAGCGUGGGGGGCAAACAGG